ACACUCCUACGGGAGGCAGCAGUGGGGAAUUUUGGACAAUGGGCGAAAGCCUGAUCCAGCAAUGCCGCGUGAGUGAAGAAGGCCUUCGGGUUGUAAAGCUCUUUUGUCAGGGAAGAAACGGUGAGAGCUAAUAUCUUUUGCUAAUGACGGUACCUGAAGAAUAAGCACCGGCUAACUACGUGCCAGCAGCCGCGGUAAUACGUAGGGUGCAAGCGUUAAUCGGAAUUACUGGGCGUAAAGCGUGCGCAGGCGGUUUUGUAAGUCUGAUGUGAAAUCCCCGGGCUCAACCUGGGAAUUGCAUUGGAGACUGCAAGGCUAGAAUCUGGCAGAGGGGGGUAGAAUUCCACGUGUAGCAGUGAAAUGCGUAGAUAUGUGGAGGAACACCGAUGGCGAAGGCAGCCCCCUGGGUCAAGAUUGACGCUCAUGCACGAAAGCGUGGGGAGCAAACAGGAUUAGAUACCCUAGUAGUCCC
rnacentral:rRNA from 1 species